rnacentral:lncRNA from 1 species
CUCUGUCGUGUCCAUAUUUCCCGUCGUAUCCUCGUCCUGAAUAUUUAUGACUGGAACCCUUUAACAACUUGGUAAGCCAACCCAUACAAUCUUGUUAUCUGUAGGUUGGCAAACCUUAUCUCGAAAUUUACCUACAAUUUACAUAAAAUGAAAUCGCGCAGAUUAAUGAAGCAUGCCAAGAAACUACAAGUCCUCAAAAUUCAAUCAAACAUCAUAUGCAGCAGCAGCAGCAGCACGAUAAUCAUUAAUCCGGAUUCAUAAAAGAAAAUUACUAGAAAAUACACAAACAAAUUCUACCAGCAAACAUUCUCUAAUACUAUAUAAACAAUUAAAUGAAGAGAAAGCAAGAAUUACUCUUUCAAAAGCAAGAAAAAAGCUGAAUUUUGAAUCCAAAUCCAAUCAAGCACACUAGAUAGUAAAUAGCUCAAACCAACAACACACAAAUAUAGCUUCAUAAUUAAUAAAAAAACUAUUUUUUUUUCUUCAUUUACUUUUUCAACUCUGAAAGCAACAACUAAAUAUAGCUGGAUAAUUAAUAAAAAUUUAAUAGAAUUGCUUGAAAGGAAUUCAAAUUGCACAUGCCUAUAAAAAAAGAAACAAUCUUUCACCAACCCCACCAUCAAUAUUGAUUGAAAACACAGCAAGCAUAAACAAAACAACCCAUGAUUGAAAAUUUGUUAGAGCAAAGAUAGUAAAAGGAACAAAAGAAAGGAACUUUAUGAGUCACAAGAGAACUUACCAGGAAAAGAUUAUGAAUCAGAUGAAUCAAAUGAAUCCCAACUUUAUUGUAUAAAAAAAUAUAUAAAAAAAUUGAAUGAAAUGAAUAUUUGAUUCACAUUAAUACAUAUAGAGUCAAACCCAACCACACAGAGAGAGUAAUA